AACGAACGCUGGCGGCAUGCCUAACACAUGCAAGUCGAACGAGACCUUCGGGUCUAGUGGCGCACGGGUGCGUAACGCGUGGGAACCUGCCCUUAGGUUCGGAAUAACUCCCCGAAAGGGGUGCUAAUACCGGAUAAUGUCUUCGGACCAAAGAUUUAUCGCCUUUGGAUGGGCCCGCGUUGGAUUAGCUAGUUGGUAGGGUAAAAGCCUACCAAGGCGACGAUCCAUAGCUGGUCUGAGAGGAUGAUCAGCGACACUGGGACUGAGACACGGCCCAGACUCCUACGGGAGGCAGCAGUGGGGAAUAUUGGACAAUGGGCGAAAGGAUGAUCCAGCAAUGCCGCGUGAGCGAUGAAGGCCGUAGGGUUGUAAAGCUCUUUUACCCGGGAUGAUAAUGACAGUACCGGGAGAAUAAGCUCCGGCUAACUCCGUG
rnacentral:rRNA from 1 species